rnacentral:rRNA from 1 species
UACGAAGGGGGCUAGCGUUGCUCGGAAUGACUGGGCGUAAAGGGCGCGUAGGCGGCUUGUAUAGUCGGAUGUGAAAUUCCUGGGCUUAACCUGGGGGCUGCAUACGAGACGUAUGGGCUUGAGUGCGGAAGAGGGUCGUGGAAUUCCCAGUGUAGAGGUGAAAUGCGUAGAUAUCUGGAGGAACACCGGUGGCGAAGGCGGCAUCCUGGACCGGUAUUGACGCUGAGGCGCGAAAGCCAGGGGAGCAAACGGG